rnacentral:rRNA from 1 species
GACUGCGGAGGACAUUG